rnacentral:rRNA from 1 species
UACGUAGGUGGCAAGCGUUGUCCGGAUUUACUGGGCGUAAAGAGCGCGCAGGCGGUCGUUCAAGUCGCGUGUGAAAGCCCCCGGCUCAACUGGGGAGGGUCACGCGAUACUGAUCGACUCGAAGGCAGGAGAGGGAAGUGGAAUUCCCGGUGUAGUGGUGAAAUGCGUAGAUAUCGGGAGGAACACCAGUGGCGAGGCGACUUCCUGGCCUGUUCUUGACGCUGAGGCGCGAAAGCUAGGGGAGCAAACGGG